rnacentral:tRNA from 1 species
GAGGAUGUAGCUCAGUGGUAGAGCACUUGCCUGCCAUGCAGGAGGCCCCAGGUUCAAUCGUCA